rnacentral:lncRNA from 1 species
UGAAAUGGAAGUUAUGGAACUCCUUGUACUUGUGUUAUGGGAAAAAGUUGACAAUGAAAAUGACAUUAAAUGUGGAGAAUGAUAGGCUACAUUUGCAUCUGUUGGCCAUCAAGUAGUUGAUAUGUCAUUGUAGGCUACUGUAGCCUACCAUUUAAUACAAUAAGUACAGUAUGUUGAAAUGACGAUAAGCCCAAAGGGGGCGCUUACAGUAAUCAACUGAAAUUCCAAUCUUUGAACGAGCAUAUCUCCUGUCCGGUUGGUGUUUGAAUUGUUAUCACUAAUUGGCCCAAAUGGGGGCACUGCACCAUUUGUGGGGGACAACAUGUUUACUGUUGACUUGUAUUGGAUUUUGGUUGUAUUUGACAAAUCGAGAGUUUGGGAGACUUCAAGGAUCUAAUAAAGUUAGUUAAAGUUCCUUGUCUCUUCCGCUCUGGAAGUUAAUCGUCUACCUACCAUAAAUACAAUACCAAAAGUUUUGCGCACUAACGCUUGGUAGUCUUAGGGCGAUGUUUUCAAGCACAACAGACGUACGUCUAGAACCCGCUGAAAUUCAAAGUUUAAAGUAGGAAAGGCAUCGAAUAAACAAAGUCGUUUGAAUCUUCACUGCAAUUUAUGCCCAGUCGUGACUUGUUUGCCACACACUGACAUUUCUGUUAAGGUAAGAGGAUGCUAUAUCCUACACAUUUUAGCUAACGGUAAGUCGUUUCAGCCACAUACGUUAGCUAACAGCAGUAUGCAGCAGGCUCUGGGCUGGACCUCUCAACCAGCUCAUUUGCAUAAUCGAUAGCUAGCUGGGCACUGCACUUAAUUUGGUUUAUUUUAUAGGAGCAUGGAUAGGAAACAUCGAAGUGGGUUGUCGACAACUUUGAAGACACAUAGAGGUCCUCUGUCUGACACAAAGGACAAUGUCCCCUCGUCAGAGGUCAAUGAUGUUCAGAAGAGGCGUCGCCUGAAGUUGUUGGGCGAGGAGAACGUCAGUCCUAACAAGAGUUCUUCAUCAAGAGACCACCUCUGCUGUGCAGAGCUGGAGGUGAAGCCAGACACCCCGCUCUCUGCUCUGUCCGCUCCAGAGUACAGCAACUAACCCAGAGAAGUGAGGGAGGCCCUCUACUGGCUCCGAGACCAUCCAUUAUAAUCCAGGAAGGGUUCAAAAAGCACAUUCUUAUUGGUGAGGCAGAAUUCAGCUCACGGGUGGAGCGGUUUAACGCCCCCACCACCUGUCCAGCCAGCCCUCUGCCAGGAAACUGGUGCCCCCGUACCCUCUCCAACGCCGUUACCAACUUACAGCUUAAACUUGAGGACAGUGAAACACCCAGCUCCAAGCAAGUCUCCUGCAUACGCCAGGAAAGGGAGGAGGAGCUGCGACUCUUAAGGGCCCAGCCAAUUGCAAAGAAUGUCUUUCUAAAUCAAAGAUUCUCUGAUUCCUCACUGACUGAGCAGGCAGACCUCAAUGUGACUGGUGAUGAACCUCUCUGGGUGAAGGACGGCAGCUUUACCGAGACUUCUGUCACUGCUAAGAUCCAUGGAGUGGAGCCUCCAAUCCAAGACAUUGAGGCUGAGCUGAGCUCUCAAGAUGAAACCAACACUGCUGAGAUGAUUGACCUGAUGUUUAAGGACAUGCUGGAGGCUUCUGCCCAGGGAAGGGAGAAGGAGGGCAAUGAGGAUUAUGACAGUGCCAUAGCCACAGUGAUGCGCAGAAAGGAGAAAACAGAGUUGGACAAGGAGAAAGCUGAGGAGGGUGAAGACCUGGAAGAGAUCAGGGAACUGGACUCCAGUGUAGAUGAGCUGCUGACCCUCCCACCCAGCUGCAUCCUCUCUCCUCUCAGCAGGUCUGUGGAAGCUGUGGUCACUCCAAUGAGACUUGCAGCUAGUCAGCCAGCCACCCCACCAUCCCUACCUCUGACUCCUGAAGAGCUGACCACUCCCCCUGCCGACAGUGCCCCUCUCUACAACAUCGAUGCUUACCGUACCCAGAGGCAGAGCACCAAGCCAGCUAUUCAGAGUGUAACCCCAGGGUUGCAGAGGCGUGCCGCUGAGAAGUCCCACCCCCAGAAAACUGUCAACACCAAGGACAGGAUCAUGGUUCUGAAUGAGGAGGCUGCCAAGCUACAGACGGUCAUCAAUCAGACGUUGCAGGCCCUGCUGCACUGA